GGUGUUUCUGCAUGGAUUAAAGGAAGAAGUCUGGCAUAUGUUCCAUCUUGAGAAAAGAUUACAUAAUCUAGAGUUGGCCUUCUAAGAAACAUCCCAGGUUGAAGAAUAAUACCAGUUGACAGGAAACAAGAAGUCAAGAGUGCAGUCUUGGCAGUUGUUAUAUGAGGUGUAGAAAAACAUCCAAAGGAGUGUAGCAGUAAGAGGAUUGGUUUUGGCUUCAGUUAAUGUGCCACUGGUUUCUGAUGGGAGUCUUGCACAUGCUGCUACAUCUAUUCUAGACAAAGAUGGUCAGCUGCUUACAAUGAGUGAGCUAUACACAUGAUCUAUUGUAGUACAGCUGUCCUCGAGUUUCAGGAGAUUGGUUACCUUGUGUAGGCCUUCAACAAAUUCAUGUCUGCAGAGGUCUCAUCACUUAUCAUUGGGCAAAUGAUUAAUGGACUGGAAUGCAGAAAUGAUUCUCAGGGAUGAGAGUAGCUGCUGUAAGUUGGGAAGGUUGGAUCAUCCUGGCAGACAACUCUUAAAAGUUGACAACUGGGGAAAUAGCAGCAUCAGAAGGGCCAUACAAUAAGGAAACAGCCUGGUAUGUAUAUUUAUUAGUUCUUUUGCUUGUUACACUAAUGAUAUUUAGAAUUGUAAAUGACUAGCGUAACACCUUCGGAAUAAUAAAUAUAUAGCUGUAAAAGCUUCAUAAAAUGUAACUAAAUGUAAAUUAGUAGGUGCAAAGUAAAUUUCAUAUGCUAUGAUUUCUAGUAAUAGACUGCAAUAAAGGUAUGAUUCAA